rnacentral:rRNA from 1 species
GGACUACAAGGGUUUCUAACCCUGUUUGCUCCCCACGCUUUCGUACAUGAGCGUCAGUCUCAUCCCAGGGGGCUGCCUUCGCCAUCGGUGUUCCUCCACAUCUCUACGCAUUUCACUGCUACACGUGGAAUUCCACCCCCCUCUGACAGACUCGAGCCAGGCAGUCACAAAUGCAGUUCCCAGGUUAAGCCCGGGGAUUUCACAUCUGUCUUACCAAGCCGCCUGCGUACGCUUUACGCCCAGUAAUUCCGAUUAACGCUCGCACCCUACGUAUUACCGCGGCGGCUGGCA